rfam:Otolemur garnettii contig188648, whole genome shotgun sequence.
UGGCCCAUCGGGGCUGCGGAUACCUGCUUUGAUUUUU